UUCCACUGAGAAGAUAGUGGCGGACGGGUGAGUAACACGUGGGUAACCUGGCCAUAAGAGGGGGAUAACAUCCGGAAACGGGUGCUAAUACCGGAUAGUUUUCUUGGUCGCAUGAUUGAGAAAGGAAAGACGGCCUUUGUGCUGUCGCUUAUGGAUGGACCCGCGGCGUAUUAGUUAGUUGGUGAGGUAACGGCUCACCAAGACGAUGAUACGUAGCCGACCUGAGAGGGUGAUCGGCCACAUUGGGACUGAGACACGGCCCAAACUCCUACGGGAGGCAGCAGUAGGGAAUCUUCCGCAAUGGACGAAAGUCUGACGGAGCAACGCCGCGUGAGUGAAGAAGGUUUUCGGAUCGUAAAACUCUGUUGUCAGAGAAGAACAAGUCGGAGAGUAACUGCUCCGGCCUUGACGGUAUCUGACCAGAAAGCCACGGCUAACUACGUGCCAGCAGCCGCGGUAAUACGUAGGUGGCAAGCGUUGUCCGGAUUUAUUGGGCGUAAAGCGAGCGCAGGCGGUUCCUUAAGUCUGAUGUGAAAGCCCACGGCUCAACCGUGGAAGGUCAUUGGAAACUGGGGAACUUGAGUGCAGAAGAGGAGAGUGGAAUUCCAUGUGUAGCGGUGAAAUGCGUAGAUAUAU
rnacentral:rRNA from 1 species